AAAGAAACAGAGAGCAAAACAAAACAGAGAAGGGAGAAAGAAAGAAACAGAGAGCAAAACGAAACAGAGAAGGAAGGAAGGAAAGAAAGAAAGAAAAAGAAAAAGAGAAAUUUGGGGUUUUAAGGUUCAGAGUUAAUUUGCUAAUGUCGUGUACGAGUCAUUGUCCGAGAAAGGAAAGGAGAAAGUGGACAAGGAGUGACUCGAGAGAAAUUCCGGUUAGUAUUACUAUAAUUCGAAUUUAAUUAUUAAUUGUUAAAAUUUAAAUUAAUAUACAUGAUAAGCAAAUUGAGGUAAGCAUCACGACUGAAUUGAAUGAUAAAUACGUAUUGGUAUUGAAUUUA